rnacentral:lncRNA from 1 species
CAGAUAGUCUGUCUUUAUUUACAAAUAAUGUAAGCCUCAGACAGACAUUCCUCAGAGUGGGCCUCCUGCCUGGUGCUCAGUCACUGCAGCUGGAGCAGAGGAUGACAAGCACAGCAGCAGCAGCAGCAGCAGCAGCACUGAUGGUGAACAGCCUCUGCUGAGCUCUGGAGACAAAGCUGCACCUUCCUGCUCUUACAACAGAAGAAGACAAGGCCUGAUUCUCCAACAAUUGCUUUACUGCUGCUACUUCUACCUGGAUGUAGAGGCAUGGCAGAACUGAAACACAUCAGAAUUCUAAUGAAAGGAAGGUAACAAGAGAUCUCUGGCAUUAAGACAAUCCUUAUUGAUUGGUUUUAAAAUCUAGACUUAAUCCACAGCUGUUUUCUUUACAAAACAAAAAUCAAUAUUUCUGGGCUUAGCAACUAAUUUGAAUAAUUUAUUCUUCAGACUACAUCUUUUGUGAAAGUGCCUCCUUGUGAUCUUUACGUGUAACAUGCUUGCAUCAUCCUGCACCCAGAGACUGUAAUAGUAAUUUUAGUGGAUAUCUGUGUUGUAUAAGAUUUUGCUUAUUUCACUGACAUCUGUCUCUCUGCUUGUUUAUGAAAGUUUGAUUUUUAGCCUGCCUCCCU